rnacentral:rRNA from 1 species
GCUUGCUGGGGUACACGAGUGGCGAACGGGUGAGUAACACGUGGGUGACCUGCCCCGCACUUCGGGAUAAGCCUGGGAAACUGGGUCUAAUACCGGAUAGGACCGCACCGUGAGGGUGUGGUGGAAAGUUUUUCGGUGUGGGAUGGGCCCGCGGCCUAUCAGCUUGUUGGUGGGGUAAUGGCCUACCAAGGCGGCGACGGGUAGCCGGCCUGAGAGGGUGGACGGCCACAUUGGGACUGAGACACGGCCCAGACUCCUACGGGAGGCAGCAGUGGGGAAUAUUGCACAAUGGGCGGAAGCCUGAUGCAGCGACGCCGCGUGGGGGAUGACGGCCUUCGGGUUGUAAACUCCUUUCACCAUCGACGAAGGUUUUCUGACGGUAGAUGGAGAAGAAGCACCGGCUAACUACGUGCCAGCAGCCGCGGUAAUACGUAGGGUGCGAGCGUUGUCCGGAAUUACUGGGCGUAAAGAGCUCGUAGGUGGUUUGUCGCGUCGUCUGUGAAAUUCCGGGGCUUAACUCCGGGCGUGCAGGCGAUACGGGCAUAACUUGAGUACUGUAGGGGAGACUGGAAUUCCUGGUGUAGCGGUGAAAUGCGCAGAUAUCAGGAGGAACACCGGUGGCGAAGGCGGGUCUCUGGGCAGUAACUGACGCUGAGGAGCGAAAGCAUGGGUAGCGAACAGGAUUAGAUACCCUGGUAGUCCAUGCCGUAAACGGUGGGCGCUAGGUGUAGGGGUCUUCCACGACUUCUGUGCCGUAGCUAACGCAUUAAGCGCCCCGCCUGGGGAGUACGGCCGCAAGGCUAAAACUCACAGGAAUUGACGGGGGCCCGCACAAGCGGCGGAGCAUGUGGAUUAAUUCGAUGCAACGCGAAGAACCUUACCUGGGCUUGACAUAUAC